UGCCAGACUCCUACGGGAGGCAGCAGUGGGGGAUAUUGCACAAUGGGGGAAACCCUGAUGCAGCGACGCCGCGUGAGUGAAGAAGUAUUUCGGUAUGUAAAGCUCUAUCGGCAGGGAAGAAAAAGCGCGCGAGCGCCCUUGACAGUACCUGACUAAGAAGCCCCGGCUAACUACGUGCCAGCAGCCGCGGUAAUACGUAGGGGGCAAGCGUUAUCCGGAUUUACUGGGUGUAAAGGGAGCGUAGACGGCAAUGCAAGUCUGGAGUGAAAGGCGGGGGCCCAACCCCCGGUCUGCUCUGGAAACUGUAUAGCUGGAGUGCAGGAGAGGUAAGUGGAAUUCCUAGUGUAGCGGUGAAAUGCGUAGAUAUUAGGAGGAACACCAGUGGCGAAGGCGGCUUACUGGACUGUAACUGACGUUGAGGCUCGAAAGCGUGGGGAGCAAACAGGAUUAGAUACCCCUGUACC
rnacentral:rRNA from 1 species